rnacentral:tRNA from 1 species
GUUUGGGUGGCAGAUGGAAAUGCCUAAACUUUAAGCGUUUAUUAUAGAUAAUAAUCUCCCACACU